CGCGGAGUAGGGCAGUCCGGUAGCCCGCCAGGCUCAUAACUUGGAGGUCGGGGGUUCAAAUCCCCCCUCCGCAACCA
rnacentral:tRNA from 1 species